UUAGAUUAAUACUCUGUGGAGUCACUGCAGGAUUGGACAAUGGUGUUCUUCAAGGGGCAACAGUAAGACCAGCAGCUCCUGCACUGCCAUGCAUUCCAAGUAAAGACCAUUAUUGUGGCACCUUGUGGUUGAAGAGAACUGACAUUUAUUGAAUGACCAAGGAUUUAAUACUCACUUAAAUCCUCUGAUAACUGGACAAAAAUGCAAAGCAGGCUUUAUGCCCAGUCUGGAGCUCAAUGCUGGAUUUGAACUUAGACACUGAGAUCAAGACCUGAGCUGAGCUCAAGCAGGACACCCAACCAACCGAGCCACCCAGGAUCGUGGUGCGGUCUUUACUCCAGAUUCCAUAACUAAGCAGAAGCACCUGGAAGGCCUCAGGCUUUAGCAGAGAAGAGACAAGUAGCUAUAAACAACAAUACCACUUGGUGA